GAAUGUCAUGUACUAAUGUUCAGCAUACUAAAUAAAAAGCUAAAACUCAUGAGUACCCUGCAGCAUUCUUUAAAUCUAUAUUCUAUGGCAUCACACGGAGGGGGAGGGAGAGACUGGGGAAGGCAAAUACAUCGAUAUAUCACCUAGAGAAACUCAAUUCUCCUCAACGAAACAAGCCCACAAUUUGAAGUUAUAGAAUAUCGAAGUGAAUGGUUCCCAAUGAAAAAUGCGACCUAGAAGAAUUCUCCUUUGAUAAAAUUGAAGAAAACAAAACAAAUUACCAAAAUCAAAUUUCACACAACCAAGCGAACAUUGAGAAUCGGCAAAAAAGCCAAAAUUACAGUAAAGGAAAAC
rnacentral:misc_RNA from 1 species